UGAAAACAGAUGCAGCUUGCUUCAGGGAGAAACUUGGAGUUAUUCAAAGAACUAUCCAGUUAUCCAAAGGCACACAGAAGCAAUAGAAGAAAUAGCAGGAAGAAAAGAAGAAUUGGCAUCUGCACUGCGACCAUACUGGUGCUAUGAAUGUAGAUAGACAGGCAUGGAGGUAGAAGGAAUGUGGUAAUCUGAGAAACAGCUCAGAAGAUGAUGUUAAAAGUAGAGGCA